GAUGAAGAACGUAGCGAAAUGCGAUAAGUAGUGUGAAUUGCAGAAUUCAGUGAAUCAUCGGAUCUUUGAACGCACAUUGCGCCCCUUGGUAUUCCAUGGGGCAUGCCUGUUCGAGCGUCAUUUGUACCUUCAAGCUCUGCUUGGUGUUGGGUGUUUGUCUCGCCUCUGCGUGUAGACUCGCCUUAAAACAAUUGGCAGCCGGCGUAUUGAUUUCGGAGCGCAGUACAUCUCGCGCUUUGCACUCAUAACGACGACGUCCAAAAGUACAUUUUUACACUCUUGACCUCGGAUCAGGUAGGGAUACCCGCUGAACUUAAGCAUAUCAAUAAGCGGAGGA
rnacentral:misc_RNA from 1 species